rnacentral:lncRNA from 1 species
AUUUUGGAGAAAGUAUCCCCUGUUCAGCCUUGGACCACAGUUUCUUCUGAAUUAACAAUUCACCAAGAGCAGCUCAACCAACAUGAUGAACAUGAUAUUUUGGGUAAUGUGGAAGCAUCAGGGCCUGACUCAGCUGUUGUUGAAGAGUCAAUUCCAACUGAGCGGAUGGAAAGGCAGAAGAAGCGUUGGAGCAAAAGGCUAGCUGGAGAAAAAGCUUCCUUGAUAUCAGAUAUCUUGCAUCAUCCAAAUUUACUGGAUAAAUGCCCUCCAAAAUCAGAACUUUCUCAUCAGGAUAAGGCGCAUGGAAAACAGAUGAAGUGCUAUAGCAGAAGGCUAUCUGGAGAUAAAGCUUCUUCGAUGUCAGAUAUCUUACCUUAUCCAGAGUUGCAGGAUGACAAUCCUCCAAAGUUGCAACUUUCUGAUCAUUGUAGUGCUUAUGGAAAACAUCACACAUCAUUGGAGUCAACUCUGACUACAGAGGUGCAACGAAAGCAAUGUAGUCAGCUGCAAAAAGCUGCCAUUGAUUCAUCAAAAAAUUUGCAGCAGCCGGAUUCAGAAACAUUGAGCAAGCUCCCAUGUUUAGGUGACUAUCCUGCUGAACCGAAAUGCC